UUAUAGGAAGCCAAAGCCCGGGGAGGAGGCCAAACCACAGCUAGCAAACAGAGAGGAUGAUGGGACAAUAAAAUUAAAGACUUAUAUCAACACAUAUAUUUGGAUUUAUGGAACAUGAGAAGCAGCUCGAAUUGUGUGUAAUGUGGUCCCCAGGCUAUUUAAAGUUUAUGGUGAGUUUGUGAUUCAACAAAAGUCCCUUUGGAGUGUGUCAACACUGUAAAAAAAAUCUGUAAAAUAACAGUUAAAUGACUGUAUAUUUUAACAGAUUUUUUCCGUAUACACGUAUUACGGGUGUUUUUCCGUUUAUAUACAUUUUCGAAUUGCAUUGUGGGAAGGGGAUCGCAGCUCAGACAGCGUUUGAUGGACAUCGGGACAUAUUUCUUCCUCUGUUUUUUCCCUGGUAAGUACGAUUAAUAAAACAUAUAACAAUAUUUUAGUUAAAAGACUGCUUUAUUACCUUUUUAUCGUUAUUUAAAAUGAUUUUGUCUUGUAUGAAGUGCCCAUGGAAAGUACAGCAGUGAAUUACGUUUAAUAUUGUUAAUAAGAUCAGACUUUAUUUCAUUAAGAUCAAACUGAGCUAUGAGUGGUUAAAUGUAAUUUAAACAAGCAUUUACCUAAUGAUUUUUUACCUUUUUAUGCGUUUUCCUCAUCAGUAAAUAUGGUAUCUGUUCAUUUACAGUUGUUUGUCCGUAUUUUUCUAAACUGCCGUGCGCGGGAAGUGACGUGACGUCCCAAUCACCCACUCACUCCCUCUGCACCUGCGAGUCUGACUGGAUUAACGGUAAACGUCAGCUUGUCUGUGAGAGUGUGAAAGGUGUGUUGGUGUAAAAAUUGAUGCUGACUGAACUCAGGCAGUUGUGCUGGACCUUCUGUACUUUAUACAGGAGAUGACAGUAAACUUUCAAGUUUAAGAGGUGUGUUGGUGUAAAAAGUGAUGCUGACUGAACUCAUGCAGUUGUGUUGGACCCUCUGUACCUUAUACAGGAGAUGACGGUAAACUUUGAAGUUUAAGAGGUUCUGUAAUUUUGGUUAUAAGUACAAGGUGUGUUGGUGU